UCCGGCUUAUCACCGGCAGUUUCCUUAGAGUGCUCAACUAAAUGGUAGCAACUAAAGACGAGGGUUGCGCUCGUUGCGGGACUUAACCCAACAUCUCACGACACGAGCUGACGACAGCCAUGCAGCAUCUGUGCAUGGGCUCCGAAGAGCGGCCCUGAUCUCUCAAGACCUUCCCAUGCAUGUCAAGCCCAGGUAAGGUUCUUCGCGUUGCGUCGAAUUAAACCACAUGCUCCACCGCUUGUGCGGGCCCCCGUCAAUUCCUCUGAGUUUCAACCUUGCGGCCGUACUCCCCAGGCGGUGUGCUUAAAGCGUUAGCUGCGACACCGAAGAGCUAGGCUCCCCAACGUCUAGCACACAUCGUUUACAGCGUGGACUAC
rnacentral:misc_RNA from 1 species